rnacentral:SRP_RNA from 1 species
GACAGUGACGUGGACAGGCACCUGCAGUCCCAGCCCCUCUGGAGGCUGUUGUGGGAGGAUCACUUAAGCCCAGGAGUUCUGGGCUGUAGUGUGCUAUGCUGAGGGGGUCAGCGCUAAAUUUGGCAUCUGUAUGGUGACAUCCCAGGAGCGGGCACCAUUAGUUUGCCUAAGGUGGGGUGAACCGGCCCAGGUAAGAAGCAGAGCAGGUCAAAACUCCUUUGUUGAUCAGUAGUGGGAGCAUGCCUGUGCCUAGCCACUGCACUUCAGCCUGGGCAACACAGCAAGACCCCAUCUCU